UCAGCGAGGGACCGCCGCCUUUGUGUGGCGAGGGGGCGCCGGCUGGGGCUGGACCUCCCAGAAGUGUGAGUGUGCAAGGAAAUACACACCCUGGUGUGGAAAUGCUGGGGGCUCGGUAUUCAGUUAGGGAAUGCAAACGUCCUGGCGAGUGGUGAGGGAGUGUACCUGGUCGUAGUGCUACAGGCCGAGUCAUUGCUGCAGUAUCUGCUGGGAUUCAGAGCCUAACGUUUAUGCCGAAGCCAUCUCAGGCCCACAUGCAGACGACUGGCGGCCGUGAGUGCCG
rnacentral:lncRNA from 1 species